CCCCGAUCGUCGGGAGAGAGUGAUUCAAUUCACCGCCGAAGGCGCAACCGCCCGGGAACCGCUCAGGCAAAAGGGCCGACGACGCAGG
rnacentral:ncRNA from 2 species